UAGGGAAUCUUCCACAAUGGACGCAAGUCUGAUGGAGCAACGCCGCGUGAGUGAAGAAGGUUUUCGGAUCGUAAAGCUCUGUUGUUGGUGAAGAAGGAUAGAGGCAGUAACUGGUCUUUAUUUGACGGUAAUCAACCAGAAAGUCACGGCUAACUACGUGCCAGCAGCCGCGGUAAUACGUAGGUGGCAAGCGUUGUCCGGAUUUAUUGGGCGUAAAGCGAGCGCAGGCGGAAUGAUAAGUCUGAUGUGAAAGCCCACGGCUCAACCGUGGAACUGCAUCGGAAACUGUCAUUCUUGAGUGCAGAAGAGGAGAGUGGAAUUCCAUGUGUAGCGGUGGAACGCGUAGAUAUAUGGAAGAACACCAGUGGCGAAGGCGGCUCUCUGGUCUGCAACUGACGCUGAGGCUCGAAAGCAUGGGUAGCGAACAGG
rnacentral:rRNA from 1 species